GUACUACUCCCUCCGUUCGGAAUUAGUUGUCGCAGAAAUGGAUGUAUCUAGAUGUAGUUUAGUUCUAGAUACAUCCAUUUCCGAGACAAGUAAUUCCGAACGGAGGGAGUAGAUG
rnacentral:pre_miRNA from 1 species